rnacentral:snRNA from 1 species
GUCUUCACUUUUGCAGCACAUAGACUAAAAUUGGAAUGAUACAGAGAAAAUUAGCAUGGCCCCUGUGCAGGGAUGACAUACACAUUCAUGAAGCAUUCCAUAACAUAUUUUU